AAUUACUUGUUUGCUUUAAUUCUUUGUUUUAUUUUUUUUAUAGAAAUAACUUUUUUCUUAGUAAAUUUUAUUGAAUUGAUUUUUAGGCGUUAGUUUAUAGUACUGUGAGGGAAAAUUUUUAUUUAGUUAGAAGUAGUUUUAUUUUAAUGUACCUUUUGUAUCAGGGUUAAUUAAGUUAUAUUAGUUAUCUAGUUUUCCCGAAAUUUGGGGGGAUAUAAUUAAAUGUUAGUUAAUGUUUCAUAAUUAUUGAUAAUUUAAUUAUUGUAAUGAUAAGUUAUUCGUUCUUGAAUAUCUGGUUCUCUAAGAAUUAAAUUUAAUUUAGGAUCAUUAAUAUUAGGUAAAAUUUAAUUUAGUUUAUGAUCUAAUGUUAUUGGGGAUAAGCUCAUUAAUAUUUAUAUAACUUUAAUAAUAUAAAGUUAGAGUAGGCUUAGAAUCAGCCAUCUUUAAUUUCGUUAUAGAUUAUUCUUUUUAUUUAUUUAUUUUUUAAUGGUUUAGUUUUUUAUUAGGGGGUUAAUUUAAUUUUGAAGUUUAUGUAAUAAUGAUUAUAUUAGUAUACUUGUUAUUUAUAUCAUAGGAAUUCGGCAAUUUUUAUAUCCGCCUGUUUAACAAAAACAUGUUCUUUUGUUAUUUAUAUAAGGUUUGGCCUGCCCAAUGAAUUUUUAAUGGCCGCGGUAUCUUAACCGUGCUAAGGUAGCAUAAUCAUUUGUCUUUUAAUUAAGGGCUUGAAUGAAGGGUUGGACGAGAUAUAAACUUUCUUUGAUUUAAAUGUAGAAUUUAUCUUUUUAGUUAAAAGACUAAAAUUAAUUUAUGGGACGAGAAGACCCUAUAGAUCUUUAUAUAAAAUUUAUUAAGAGUAUUUGGUUUAAUUAUUUUUUUAAUUUGUUUUUUAUUUAAUUGGGGUGAUUGCAGAGAAUUAUUAACUUCUGUUUAUUAAUUCAUUGAUUAGUGUUUUAAUGAUCCAUUUUUUUUGAUUGUAAGAUUAAGUUACCUUAGGGAUAACAGCGUAAUUUUUAUGGAGAGUUCUUAUCGAUAUAAAAGUUUGCGACCUCGAUGUUGGAUUAAAAUAAGUGUUAGGUGUAGCAGCUUAAUAACUAGGUCUGUUCGACCUUUAAUUUUUUACAUGAUCUGAGUUCAGACCGGCGUGAGCCAGGUCAGUUUCUAUCUUUAAUUAUUUUCUAUAUUUUAGUACGAAAGGACCAAUUAUAGGCAAUAAUUGUUUAUUGUUGAUUGAUAUU
rnacentral:rRNA from 1 species